rnacentral:misc_RNA from 1 species
GGGUAAACCAGCUAUACAAACUCAGAUACUAUGCUAUAUUGGUAUUCCUAAGGGGGAGUGACUUUAAGCACCAAAAGGCUUUUGGUCAUUCAGUGCCACCCUUGCUUGACAAAAUGCUUGGGAAGACAACAUCUUGGACUUUCAGAUUCUUAUAAUAUGCAGGCAUACUACAACUACUCAAACGGCCAGCUAAUGUGUGUCGCCUUUCUGACCACAUUU